UCGCAAUAGUACACGUCACACACUUGUGUAGCAUAAUGCAGUAAAUGUACCAUUUAUGGUAGGUUUUCUUUUAUGAUUCAAUUAAUUUUACUCUAUAUUACAUUAUAGACGAAAAACUAUUUAAAUAUGCGAAAAUAAAAAAAGAAUGUAGAAUAAAAGUAUGCCUCGAUGACUGUUCAAUCUAUUUAUUAUUAUUUAUAAGUUAUAUUUAUAUAUAACAUUAUUAUUUAUAAGUUUUAAUUAUAUUAAUAUAUAAAAUUAUAAUUUAUUAAGCAAAAAAAAAAAAAAAAAAAAAAUUGUAAAUCCACAAGAACAUAACAUCCGAUUUAAAUGUAUUUGUAUUGUAAAAACUGAAAUAAACCAUAUUAAUUUUAAGGGCGCAAUGGGAAAUCUUUGUUUUUUUUUUUUUAUUUAUAAUUAUUUUAUUUAAGGAAUCUUAUUAUUGUUGUAAACGAAAUCGAUUCUCAUUUCCCUAUUAACAACCGCAAUACAUUAUACUACACAACGACAUAUUGAACCAAUCAAAGGCCUAUGUACUGUGGAAUUGUUAUCGUAUUGUAAUAUCGUGUGGUGAAUAAUAAUUAAACUGUACGUAUGUUUAUUUGACCAUACUUGGACCGUGUUUUUAUUUUUAUUUGCGCUUCUACUUAACAUCAGCACACAUAUCCUCAUUUUACCCGUUCUUAUCCUGCAACGCCGUAUCUGGCCUAUACUAUAGAUAUUGUAAAACAAAAAUCCGAAUCAGUACUUCGGAUGCACAUAAAUUAUCCAUCUAUUUUCGAUCAUAGAUAAUUGUUGACAAAAG